GAUCCCUUAGCUCAGCGGUAGAGCAUCUGAUUCCAGUAGUUGACAAUCCAGAAGGUCGUCCGUUCAAUCCGGGCAGGGAUCA